rnacentral:rRNA from 1 species
AUUGAACGCUGGCGGCAGGCCUAACACAUGCAAGUCGAACGGUAACAGGAAGAAGCUUGCUUCUUUGCUGACGAGUGGCGGACGGGUGAGUAAUGUCUGGGAAACUGCCUGAUGGAGGGGGAUAACUACUGGAAACGGUAGCUAAUACCGCAUAACGUCGCAAGACCAAAGAGGGGGACCUUCGGGCCUCUUGCCAUCGGAUGUGCCCAGAUGGGAUUAGCUAGUAGGUGGGGUAACGGCUCACCUAGGCGACGAUCCCUAGCUGGUCUGAGAGGAUGACCAGCCACACUGGAACUGAGACACGGUCCAGACUCCUACGGGAGGCAGCAGUGGGGAAUAUUGCACAAUGGGCGCAAGCCUGAUGCAGCCAUGCCGCGUGUAUGAAGAAGGCCUUCGGGUUGUAAAGUACUUUCAGCGGGGAGGAAGGGAGUAAAGUUAAUACCUUGCUCAUUGACGUACCCGCAGAA